GGGGAGAUCGCAAGACGAAGAACUCGAAUGGUAACACAGAGAUGCAAGGUUUAGAUGGGUUUGGGCCACCAAGGAGGUGUAACACCCUACAUCCUGUGUUCUAGUAGAUUGUAUUGCUGGUGUAUGAUGCAAAGGGGAGCGUUACCCUUGGGGGGUGUCCCCAGCCGCCUUAUAUAGGUUGAUGACCUAGGGUUACAAGUCGGAUAGGAUCUAAUACUAGUCAAUUGUUACAUAGAAAGCAAUAUGAGUCGGACUACAAC
rnacentral:lncRNA from 1 species